GAGUUUGAUCCUGGCUCAGGAUGAACGCUGGCGGCGUGCUUAACACAUGCAAGUCGAACGAACCUUCGGGUUAGUGGCGGACGGGUGAGUAACGCGUGAGAAUCUGCCCUCAGGAGGGGGAUAACAGCUGGAAACGGCUGCUAAUACCCCAUAUGCCGCGAGGUGAAAUGAAUUUCGCCUGAGGAUGAGCUCGCGUCUGAUUAGCUAGUUGGUGUGGGUAAUGGCUCACCAAGGCAUCGAUCAGUAGCUGGUCUGAGAGGAUGAUCAGCCACACUGGGACUGAGACACGGCCCAGACUCCUACGGGAGGCAGCAGUGGGGAAUUUUCCGCAAUGGGCGAAAGCCUGACGGAGCAACGCCGCGUGAGGGAUGAAGGCCUCUGGGCUGUAAACCUCUUUUAUCAAGGAAGAAGAUCUGACGGUACUUGAUGAAUAAGCCACGGCUAAUUCCGUGCCAGCAGCCGCGGUAAUACGGGAGUGGCAAGCGUUAUCCGGAAUUAUUGGGCGUAAAGCGUCCGCAGGCGGCCCUUCAAGUCUGCUGUUAAAAAGUGGAGCUUAACUCCAUCAUGGCAGUGGAAACUGAGGGGCUUGAGUGUGGUAGGGGCAGAGGGAAUUCCCGGUGUAGCGGUGAAAUGCGUAGAUAUCGGGAAGAACACCAGUGGCGAAGGCGCUCUGCUGGGCCAUCACUGACGCUCAUGGACGAAAGCCAGGGGAGCGAAAGGGAUUAGAUACCCCUGUAGUCCUGGCCGUAAACGAUGAACACUAGGUGUCGGGGGAAUCGACCCCCUCGGUGUCGUAGCCAACGCGUUAAGUGUUCCGCCUGGGGAGUACGCACGCAAGUGUGAAACUCAAAGGAAUUGACGGGGGCCCGCACAAGCGGUGGAGUAUGUGGUUUAAUUCGAUGCAACGCGAAGAACCUUACCAGGGUUUGACAUCCUGCGAAUCUCUUGGAAACGAGAGAGUGCCUUCGGGAGCGCAGUGACAGGUGGUGCAUGGCUGUCGUCAGCUCGUGUCGUGAGAUGUUGGGUUAAGUCCCGCAACGAGCGCAACCCACGUCUUUAGUUGCCAGCAUUUAGUUGGGCACUCUAGAGAGACCGCCGGUGAUAAACCGGAGGAAGGUGUGGAUGACGUCAAGUCAUCAUGCCCCUUACAUCCUGGGCUACACACGUACUACAAUGCUACGGACAAAGGGCAGCAAGUUCGCGAGGACAAGCAAAUCCCAUAAACCGUGGCUCAGUUCAGAUCGUAGGCUGCAACUCGCCUACGUGAAGGAGGAAUCGCUAGUAAUCGCAGGUCAGCAUACUGCGGUGAAUACGUUCCCGGGCCCUGUACACACCGCCCGUCACACCAUGGAAGUUGGCCACGCCCGAAGCCGUUACUCCAACCCUUGUGGAGGAGGACGUCGAAGGUGGGGCUGAUGAUUGGGGUGAAGUCGUAACAAGGUA
rnacentral:rRNA from 1 species